rnacentral:rRNA from 1 species
GACAGAGGUCCCGAGCGUUAGGCGGAAUCACUGGGCUUAAAGCGUGUGUAGGCGGAUGCCUAAGUACCUUGUGAAAUCCCACGGCUCACCCGUGGAACUGCUUGGUAUACUGGGUGUCUUGAGCCACUUAGGGGCUACCGGAACAAAUGGUGGAGCGGUGAAAUGCGUAGAUAUCAGGAGGAACACCGGUGGUGAAGGCGGCAUUCUGGACUGUAACUGACACUGAGGAACGAAAGCCAGGGGAGCAAACGGG